AGCAGUCGCCACGGUAAUACGGAGGGUGCGAGCGUUAAUCGGAAUUACUGGGCGUAAAGGGUGCGUAGGUGGUUUGAUAAGUUAUCUGUGAAAUCCCUGGGCUUAACCUGGGCAGGUCAGAUAAGACUGUUGGACUCGAGUAUAGGAGAGGGUAGUGGAAUUUCCGGUGUAGCGGUGAAAUGCGUAGAGAUCGGAAGGAACACCAGUGGCGAAGGCGGCUACCUGGCCUGAUACUGACACUGAGGCACGAAAGCGUGGGGAGCAAACAGGAUUAGAUACCCCCGUAGUCCCUGUCUCUUAUAC
rnacentral:rRNA from 1 species